CGCGGGGUAGAGCAGUUUGGUAGCUCGCAAGGCUCAUAACCUUGAGGUCACGGGUUCAAAUCCUGUCUCCGCUA
rnacentral:tRNA from 3 species